rnacentral:rRNA from 1 species
GAGUUGAUCCUGGCUCAGGACGAACGCUGGCGGCGUGCUUAACACAUGCAAGUCGAGCGGAAAGGCCCUUCGGGGUACUCGAGCGGCGAACGGGUGAGUAACACGUGAGCAACCUGCCCUGGACUUUGGGAUAACCCUCGGAAACGGGAGCUAAUACCGAAUAUGACAUUCUGCCGCAUGGUGGUUUGUGGAAAGUUUUUCGGUCUGGGAUGGGCUCGCGGCCUAUCAGCUUGUUGGUGGGGUGAUGGCCUACCAAGGCGACGACGGGUAGCCGGCCUGAGAGGGCGACCGGCCACACUGGGACUGAGACACGGCCCAGACUCCUACGGGAGGCAGCAGUGGGGAAUAUUGCACAAUGGGCGGAAGCCUGAUGCAGCGACGCCGCGUGAGGGAUGACGGCCUUCGGUUGU